UUUUCAUAAACUACUCAGUUUUCUCAGAGCUGAUCAAAUUGCUAUAACAAAAUCUAUUUUCUGUUGAAAGCUAACACAUUCGUGGUCGGAAUUGCGGUCGUAUAUUUUUGAAAGAGAAUUCUGGUGGAAAGAUAUCAUCAAAAGUAAAC